AGCGGGUAUUGGUUGAUCGGAGGCAGAGUCAUCGGAGUUUAGCAAGUUAAAAGAGUUCCAGCACAAUGUAAAUCAAAUCUAUGGACCCGACAAAAUCAAAGAUGAUGUAGUGCCUCAUAGAGCCUUGUGUAUCAAGGCUUCUUGCUGAAGAUUGAAAUUUCGAAAAAAUAAGGGCUGUCUUCCAAAUGCUUGAUCUUUCCCAGCAUGUUAGAGAUAACCAUGAGCAAGUCGGUAGCUAUUUAGCCGUGCAUGACUUCCACGAGCGCUAAAAUGGUAUAAUUUUUCAUCUUUCUCCCCUUUUUUGGUUGGAGUUGUCUAAUAGGUUGUCGUUUUAUUAUGUUUUAUCUUCAUUAUUAUUGCAGUUUCUUCAUUCGAUUGUGAUAGUUGUCGAUCCGUGUAUUUGUAUAGUAUUUCAUAGUGUAGUAAGUACUCCUCUUAGCCUCUUCUACUCCUUAACUUUUCCUUCUCCAGGACGAUUCGAGAUCUCGAAGACGAUCCUCAACUUAUCGGUCCAUUUUAUUUAUUUCUGAAUCUUAAAUUUAUUAACAUGUAUGCACAUUACUCUUUAAAUAUGCUUAGUAAUGUUAAACAUGUAACUCAAACUUCAAG